rnacentral:rRNA from 1 species
GACGAACGCUGGCGGCGUGCCUAAUACAUGCAAGUCGAACGAGAGCGACCGGUGCUUGCACUGGUCAAUCUAGUGGCGAACGGGUGAGUAACACGUGGGUAACCUGCCCAUCAGAGGGGGAUAACAUCCGGAAACGGAUGCUAAAACCGCAUAGGUCUUCGAGCCGCAUGGCUUGAAGAGGAAAAGAGGCGCAAGCUUCUGCUGAUGGAUGGACCCGCGGUGCAUUAGCUAGUUGGUGAGGUAACGGCUCACCAAGGCCGUGAUGCAUAGCCGACCUGAGAGGGUGAUCGGCCACAUUGGGACUGAGACACGGCCCAAACUCCUACGGGAGGCAGCAGUAGGGAAUCUUCCGCAAUGGACGCAAGUCUGACGGAGCAACGCCGCGUGAGUGAAGAAGGUUUUCGGAUCGUAAAACUCUGUUGUUAGAGAAGAACAAGUGCUAGAGUAACUGUUAGCGCCUUGACGGUAUCUAACCA